AGAGCUCUGCAAGAUCCGGGAGCAGGCUGCCGUCUAAGGCAUGAGGAAAAUGGUGUCGGAAGAGGUAUCGGGAGUAACUGCUGAAGUCUCUAGUGCUACAGCAAUGAAAUACUGAAAUUGGGUGUCUGGAAGAAAAGAAAUCUGUUUCAACUGAGCUCUGGCUCAAAAGCGGGUUACCAUGGCUUAAUGAAUUAUCCGGUGUUCGCUGAACAACAUGUGUCCUUACAGAAAAGAAAACCAUACUGUCUGAGUCGUGUGGUUACAGCUGAGGACCAAGGCUGCUGUAACAGCAGUGACAGAUUUGUGAACAAAAGUUCCAAAGAAAUUGAAACUUCAGAGGAGGCUGUUUGCAGAAUGUGACCUUUCAGAGAAAUGCAGCCCCGUACCUGACAGUUUAGGGCUGCUCAGGCACGGCACACGUUGCAGCAGCGCUGGCGGGGGCUCAGCUGACAGUGGGACCUUCCAGCUAACGUUGGACACAAAGAGCAACUGACCUCACAUCUCAAGGUGACGACUCCAGUGGGGCUCAAGUGCCCACUGCUAUUUAUUAGGUGUAUUUUUUACAGAGCUUCCAGAACGUUUUGUUACUGGCUUUUGCCUUUUGUGCC